AACGAACGCUGGCGGCAGGCCUAACACAUGCAAGUCGAGCGAGAUCUUCGGGUCUAGCGGCGGACGGGUGAGUAACGCGUGGGAAUAUGCCCCUUGGUACGGAAUAGCCUCGGGAAACUGGGAGUAAUACCGUAUGUGCCCUUUGGGGGAAAGAUUUAUCGCCAAGAGAUUAGCCCGCGUUGGAUUAGGUAGUUGGUGGGGUAAUGGCCUACCAAGCCGACGAUCCAUAGCUGGUUGGAGAGGAUGAUCAGCCACACUGGGACUGAGACACGGCCCAGACGCCUCCGGGAGGCGGCAAUGGGUGAUCUUAGGCAGUGGGGGCAAUCCUGCACUGGCCCGUCCGCGAGAGUGAUGAAGGCGUUAGGAUCGUAAAUCUCUUGCAGCUAGGAGGAUGUUGCCGGUACCGGUAAAGGAGGCCCCGGCAACUUCCGU
rnacentral:rRNA from 1 species